GGACAGCAGUUAUGUAAUGUUGCUUCACCAAACAGGUACUGUGUCAUACCUCAGUGCAACCUGGAGCAUGCUGCCUGUCAGGGCUUAGUCAUUAUUCCUGUUAGAAUCAACAAGUCUUCUCCAAAGAGACUCAACCACUGCUGCUGUGGGCAGGCCGGCUUUGGGAGCAACACAGCUAUUUCCUUUGAUUCAGGCACCACCAAAACCGCUACCCAAACUCCCACAGCAGUUAGCAAUAGAAUAAACAAAAAGAUGAAGCAAGAAGCCUGAAUCAGAGGAUAAGAAAAGAAAAACUAGUUGAUAUGAGGCCGAACACUUCAGAGCCAUUGUUUCCACCCUCCUGAGGGAAGGUCUGGAUAUUUUAAAACAAGUUGCCCAUGGAGUAGAUGUUUAUAGGGCUGCACAACCAUCUCUGGACCCUGGAUCACUGAGACAUGCAUGUUGGCAACUUUUUCCACAGAGCACAUGGACAUUUUCUUUUUCAUAGAUGUACAUUUGAAGGAUGAAAAAGUGGGUGUGAGGAGGAGGGUGAUAUGCAGGGUUGUGGGUGGGUGAGGGGACACACAAGUCUUCAGAUGGCCACAUUGUGUGCUCCUGGCUCUCUGGACAGCAAACCUGGGGUGCUGGGCAAGGAAACACUCAAGUGGGACAACUAGAUUCCAAACCUCACUACGGCACCAUGAAGGGGGGCUAUGAAGCUUUGGAGGCCCAUGCCUUCUGGCGUCAUCUGGUUCCUCCUCCUAGAGUAGGAGACAGACAUCACACACAGGUUCUCAUGAAUAUGAAAAGCAUUUUUUUUAAGAGAUAGGGAAACACUUGACACUGGUAUGGAACACUUCUACACUGAUGUAGGUCAGAUUCAAGGCCAGAGAAACCAAGGUAAGAAGCCAAAAACCCCUGGGGUGGGGAGGCCCAGUGAGUGAACUGGACACAAGAAAAAAUUAAACAUAAACCACCAGAGGAGCCAGUAACUCAGCAAAGCUUCCAAAGCUUGGAAUGGGAAGACUUCCCUGGUCUUUGAGGCAAUGACGGG
ensembl:lncRNA